CAUUUUUGUCGUGUGAUUAUUUUAUUUUGUCGCAUCAUCGUCGCAUCACGCGCAUCAUCUACAUUGCAUCGACACUCCUUUCCCACCAGUUUUCAAAACUGCAUCCGUUAUUAGUUGUCGGUUCCCUCCAUUUUGCCGUUGACCGUUUGAGACCUACCACACAGGCACGCACCCGUGACAUCGUUAAACUAUGUCGCCAGGUUGCCGUUUUCCCUCUCAUCCUCGCCUAGCCCCUAUGCAGAGUGCACCGACCCUACACGCAGCCUAGUCCGAAAACCUUCCGAAACCCGAACCAGUUGAUCUUGACUGUUCGGUCCGUAUCAACCCCAUUCUACCGCAAACCGUCUUCAGUUUGUCCAUUGGUCAUCCUAACCUAGUUUUUCCGACAGUCCGAUUAAAUAUCGGAGGGUUGAGAUGAACCUAACCUAGCCCACUAGCUAUAUAUU
rnacentral:lncRNA from 1 species